GGUGCUUGCAUCAUGAUUUACAUUUGAGUGAGUGGCGAACUGGUGAGUAACACGUGGGAAACCUGCCCAGAAGCGGGGGAUAACACCUGGAAACAGAUGCUAAUACCGCAUAACAACUUGGACCGCAUGGUCCGAGCUUGAAAGAUGGCUUCGGCUAUCACUUUUGGAUGGUCCCGCGGCGUAUUAGCUAGAUGGUGGGGUAACGGCUCACCAUGGCAAUGAUACGUAGCCGACCUGAGAGGGUAAUCGGCCACAUUGGGACUGAGACACGGCCCAAACUCCUACGGGAGGCAGCAGUAGGGAAUCUUCCACAAUGGACGAAAGUCUGAUGGAGCAACGCCGCGUGAGUGAAGAAGGGUUUCGGCUCGUAAAACUCUGUUGUUAAAGAAGAACAUAUCUGAGAGUAACUGUUCAGGUAUUGACGGUAUUUAACCAGAAAGCCACGGCUAACUACGUGCCAGCAGCCGCGGUAAUACGUAGGUGGCAAGCGUUGUCCGGAUUUAUUGGGCGUAAAGCGAGCGCAGGCGGUUUUUUAAGUCUGAUGUGAAAGCCUUCGGCUCAACCGAAGAAGUGCAUCGGAAACUGGGAAACUUGAGUGCAGAAGAGGACAGUGGAACUCCAUGUGUAGCGGUGAAAUGCGUAGAUAUAUGGAAGAACACCAGUGGCGAAGGCGGCUGUCUGGUCUGUAACUGACGCUGAGGCUCGAAAGUAUGGGUAGCAAACAGGAUUAGAUACCCUGGUAGUCCAUACCGUAAACGAUGAAUGCUAAGUGUUGGAAGGGUUUCCGCCCUUCAGUGCUGCAGCUAACGCAUUAAGCAUUCCGCCUGGGGAGUACGGCCGCAAGGCUGAAACUCAAAGGAAUUGACGGGGGCCCGCACAAGCGGUGGAGCAUGUGGUUUAAUUCGAAGCUACGCGAAGAACCUUACCAGGUCUUGACAUACUAUGCAAAUCUAAAAAAUUAGACGUUCCCUUCCGGGACAUGGAUACAGGUGGUGCCU
rnacentral:rRNA from 1 species